UACGUAGGGUGCAAGCGUUGUCCGGAAUUAUUGGGCGUAAAGAGCUCGUAGGCGGUUUGUCGCGUCUGCUGUGAAAACUCGGGGCUCAACUCCGAGCUUGCAGUCGAUACGGGCAGGCUAGAGUUCGGCAGGGGAGACUGGAAUUCCUGGUGUAGCGGUGAAAUGCGCAGAUAUCAGGAGGAACACCGGUGGCGAAGGCGGGUCUCUGGGCCGAUACUGACACUCAUACACGAAAGCGUGGGGAUCAAACAGG
rnacentral:rRNA from 1 species